GCGCCCGUAGCUCAACUGGAUAGAGCACUAGCCUCCGGAGCUAGGGGUCGUGGGUUCAAAUCCCGCCGGGCGCG
rnacentral:tRNA from 1 species